GCUGACCUGAGAGUAAGAAUGAAUAAAGAUUUUGUGGAAAUAUACUACAAUGGAGAAUGGCAUGGUGUUUGUCCAACAGAUUAUAAUAACGAAUUUGGAAAAGUUGUUUGUCAUCAUCUUGGAUAUAAUGUAAGUUUGUUUGCGCAACAGGUGUCUCCGAGAGUAUCCAAAACACCGGUCUUGCCUAUUGUAUUUAACUGUUCCGGUAACGAACAAAGACCGGUUGAAUGUCCACUAUAUAACAGAUCGGAAACUUGUCCUGUUAGUGAAAGUUUGAGAAUGAAAUGCAGUAUCAAGUCAAAUCACCAGCAUCUGUUAACCAGCACUUCUCAGCUGAUAGCAACCAUCAAUUUGUAUGGCGAUGCCCUUUACCAAAACAAAAUACAAAACAUCACGGCAGACAUCAAAACUGGCGACAAUAUCUAUGUGCAAGUACAAAGUCCGACGUUAGCUGGAAUUAGAAUGAUAGUAGAGAAUUGUUACGCCAAACCAAGCCAUGAUGCCGAUAAAAGUCAAUCUUUAAUACUGAUACGAGAUGGGUGUGAAGCAGAUGGAAGAACAUAUAUAACAAAAUACACGGACAGCGAGACGCACUUCUUUUUUCCCGUAAAUUUCGACACUGGUCAAAGAAUUGUCGACGUUGUGUGUGAUGUUAGAUCUUGUAGGACUGCCUCAACUAUCACCUGUC